rnacentral:rRNA from 1 species
GACGAACCGUGCGAACGUUGUUCGGAAUCACUGGGCUUAAAGGGCGCGUAGGCGGCCGCGCAAGUCGGGGGUGAAAUCUUUCGGCUCAACCGGAAAAGUGCCUCCGAUACCGCGCGGCUCGAGGGGGGUAGGGGCGGACGGAACUUCCGGUGGAGCGGUGAAAUGCGUUGAUAUCGGAAGGAACGCCGGUGGCGAAAGCGGUCCGCUGGGCCCCUUCUGACGCUGAGGCGCGAAAGCCAGGGGAGCAAACGGG